rnacentral:lncRNA from 1 species
CUCAUGGUGGCUUUGUCUCUCUUCUGCCAUCUCCAGACUCAGCUUUGCACUCCAGGGCUGCGUACCACCAGCCACUGUCAUGUUAACCCCUUCCCAGGCCAAUGUGUCCUUGGCCUGGAGCCCAAUCUGCUGGACAGCCUGGGACCGUCCAUUUUCGGGGUGGUGGGCAACCUGGUGGCCAUCGUGGUGCUGUGCAAGUCGCGCAAGGAGCAGAAGGAGACCACCUUCUAUACAGUUAUGCGGCUGGCUGCCACCGACCUGUUGUUCACUUUGCUGGUGAGCCAGGUGACCAUCGCCAUGUACAUGAAGGGCGGGUAACCUGGGGGCCAGCUGCUGUGUGAGUACAGCAUCUUCAGCCUGUUCUUCUUCAGUCAGUCCGGCCUCAGCAUCGUCUGUGCCAUGAUAUCUAUACAGGAUGUCUCAACUCAAAUGUGAAAUUUUCAUGGAGAAUAUUUGAACUGUAUUUAGAUUAAUACAAAUUGCAGUUAAAACGUUUAAUAUAGAUUUACCAGGGGGCGUGCAGCCCGCUUGCCAAUCAGAUCGCUGCUGAGCGGUCCCGCAGCCAACCCCCGAAGAGCAGCCUGCUGGCUUCCCCAGCGCCCAGGAGUUGGGGAUGUCCUACAAACCUACCACCCCUGCCCCCAGCAGCACCCCCGGCUUCAGCACCCCUGGGCCAGGCACUCCGGUCCCUACAGGAAGCGUCCCGUCGCCGUCGGGCUCAGGGCCGGGAGCCACUGCCCCUUGCAGACCGCUGUUUAAAGACUUUGGACCACCUACGGUCGGUUGUGUGCAGGCCAUGAAACCACCUGGUGCCCAGGGCUCCCAGAGCACCUACACGGAACUGCUGUUGGUCACAGGGGAGAUGGGCAAAGGGAUCCGGCCCACCUAUGCUGGCAGCAAGAGCGCCGCGGAGCGCCUGAAGAGAGGUAUCAUCCAUCCCUAGUCAGAGUGCCUGGUAGAGACAGAGCGGAACGGCCACACUUAACAGGAAGCUCCUAGGCCUCUGUGUCUGGACUUCAGAGCACCUGCUUCUCCCUGGCCUUCAUCCCUAGUUGCACUAACCAUCCUGGGCUUCCUGUCCUGUGUCCCUUGAUGGGUGCCCUCCAGGAACCAAGGGGCGGUUCUCACUGCAGGUGGCAGCACUAAGGACCCCCCUCCCCACCCCACCCCGCCAACGCAACAAGAGUUAGCAGCGAGGUCCCCGUGAGUCCCACCCAUGACCUGCAGACAGUGUUGCCCACUGGAACUUUCUGUGGCGCCCACCACUCAGCCCUUCCCAGCACUUGUCCAGAGCCUCUUUCUCCCUCAGCACAGCUCAGGCCUCAGGCCUGACACUUCC